rnacentral:rRNA from 1 species
CUAGCGACUUCAGAGUUUGAUCCUGGCUCAGGAUGAAUGCUGGCGGCAUGCCUAAUACAUGCAAGUCGAGCGGUAACAGGACUAGCUUGCUAGUUGCUGACGAGCGGCGGACGGCUGAGUAACGCGUGGGAACGGACCCCAAACUGAGGGAUAACGCACCGAAAGGUGUGCUAAUACCGCAUGUGAUCUUCGGAUUAAAGCUUUCGAGCGGUUUGGGACUGGCCUGCGUACGAUUAGAUAGUUGGUGAGGUAAUGGCUCACCAAGUCGACGAUCGUUAGAUGGUUUGAGAGGAUGAUCAUCCAGACUGGGACUGAGACACGGCCCAG